rnacentral:rRNA from 1 species
GAUGAACGCUGGCGGCGUGCCUAAUACAUGCGAGUCGAGCGAACAGACGAGGAGCUUGCUUCUCUGACGUUAGCGGCGGACGGGUGAGUAACACGUGGAUAACCUACCUAUAAGACUGGGAUAACUUCGGGAAACCGGAGCUAAUACCGGAUAAUAUUUUGAACCGCAUGGUUCAAUAGUGAAAGACGGUUUUGCUGUCACUUAUAGAUGGAUCCGCGCCGCAUUAGCUAGUUGGUAAGGUAACGGCUUACCAAGGCAACGAUGCGUAGCCGACCUGAGAGGGUGAUCGGCCACACUGGAACUGAGACACGGUCCAGACUCCUACGGGAGGCAGCAGUAGGGAAUCUUCCGCAAUGGGCGAAAGCCUGACGGAGCAACGCCGCGUGAGUGAUGAAGGUCUUCGGAUCGUAAAACUCUGUUAUUAGGGAAGAACAAAUGUGUAAGUAACUAUGCACGUCUUGACGGUACCUAAUCAGAAAGCCACGGCUAACUACGUG